rnacentral:rRNA from 1 species
UACGAAGGGGGCUAGCGUUGCUCGGAAUCACUGGGCGUAAAGCGCACGUAGGCGGAUUGCUAAGUCAGGGGUGAAAUCCUGGAGCUCAACUCCAGAACUGCCUUUGAUACUGGCGAUCUUGAGUCCGGGAGAGGUGAGUGGAACUGCGAGUGUAGAGGUGAAAUUCGUAGAUAUUCGCAAGAACACCAGUGGCGAAGGCGGCUCACUGGCCCGGUACUGACGCUGAGGUGCGAAAGCGUGGGGAGCAGACAGG